rnacentral:rRNA from 1 species
GAUGAACGCUGGCGGCGUGCCUAAUACAUGCAAGUCGAGCGAACGGACGAGAAGCUUGCUUCUCUGAUGUUAGCGGCGGACGGGUGAGUAACACGUGGAUAACCUACCUAUAAGACUGGGAUAACUUCGGGAAACCGGAGCUAAUACCGGAUAAUAUUUUGAACCGCAUGAUUCAAAAGUGAAAGACGGUCUUGCUGUCACUUAUAGAUGGAUCCGCGCUGCAUUAGCUAGUUGGUAAGGUAACGGCUUACCAAGGCAACGAUGCAUAGCCGACCUGAGAGGGUGAUCGGCCACACUGGAACUGAGACACGGUCCAGACUCCUACGGGAGGCAGCAGUAGGGAAUCUUCCGCAAUGGGCGAAAGCCUGACGGAGCAACGCCGCGUGAGUGAUGAAGGUCUUCGGAUCGUAAAACUCUGUUAUUAGGGAAGAACAUAUGUGUAAGUAUCUGUGCACAUCUUGACGGUACCUAAUCAGAAAGCCACGGCUAACUACGUG